CUCCACGAAAGAAGAAAAAACGUCACUUGCUAUAAAAUACGCCCUUAUUUAAGUUGCGGAAUAAAGGGGUGAAUAACCAAAUUCAAAGUUUGCAGAUUCUAUCAAACUUAAGUGUUGUUCCAUUUGUAGUAGUAGUAUUGUUUGGCCGGACUCCAGUUUUGAUUCGUUGUUGUUUGAGCAAAAGCUUGGACUCAAGUGGAUCUGGUGCUAUGAUGACUAACACAGAAUAGAGAGGCUGCUGGGAGAAGUUGACUGCGGAAUAAUAUUUUUCCAAUACAUAGGCUUCUGUUCUAUAAUUAGAAUCAACCUGUUUGAAUCUCAUGCAAGCUGAAGAUGCUCUUUCACAAUAAUUGAAAUUUGAGGCACUAGAAGGUUUUGUAAACCAGGCAACGCAUAUAUGGAUGAGGAACAGAGAAAGUGGUAGGUGUAUCCACGAAAUCUAAUCGUGAAUAAAUGAAAAAGAAUUUGACAGGCUCACAUAUAUUGGAAAGCAUGUGCAAAAGCUAGCAUUGAUAAAUAGAUGAUGAAAGUGAAGUUUUAGAGAUAAAGAGGAUGCACCUGCAUAGGAUGAUGCCUUUUCUGAACGGUGGUGGUUUCAUUUUCAGUGGAAACUCUGGACAUUGGUGUGAGGGGGAAAAAUGUUUCUGCCGUCCUUGCAAGUUGCAAGCAUCAUGGUGUGGGCCGGAACAGCCUGGAACAACAAAGCCCAUCCUCAGGUAGUACCGUAAUUUAACAAUUUGGGGUCUACAAAUAUGAAUUAUCGUUGUGCAUGUUUGAACUUUGAACUACCAUUUAAAAAACACAUGUAUCUUAAUCAUUCUGCAUCCAAUAAUAAAGGGUUUA